rnacentral:rRNA from 1 species
GAGACUCUGUGCGCGUGCAUAUCAAUAAGCGGAGGAAAAGAAACUAACAAGGAUUCCCUUAGUAACGGCGAGUGAAGCGGGAAGAGCUCAAAUUUGAAAUCUUCAAGGUUCUACCUUGACGAAUUGUAGUUUAUAGAAGUGUUUUCUGUUAGUAGAGUGGCAAAAGUUCUUUGGAAUAGGACAUCAUAGAGGGUGAGAAUCCCGUAUUUGGUCAUUCUUUCUAGCUUUGUGAUACACUUUCAACGAGUCGGAUUGUUUGGGAAUGCAGUCCAAAAUGGGUGGUAAAUUUCAUCUAAAGCUAAAUAUUGGCGAGAGACCGAUAGCGAACAAGUACCGUGAGGGAAAGAUGAAAAGAACUUUGAAAAGAGAGUUAAACAGUACGUGAAAUUGUCAAAAGGGAAGCGUUUGACACCAGUGUUGUUUUUCCCGAAAAUCAAUUACGAAUGUUUUAUUUUUGAGAAGUUAUGACUUCAUCGGUUUGCUUCUCUCUUUACUGAAACUUUCUUAAUGCACUUUUCGGUUAACAAGUCAACAUCAAUUUCUUUUGUUGUAAAAGGGUAUGAGGAAGGUGGCUUUCUUUUCGGAGAAAGUGUUUAUAGCCUUGUACCUCUGCAAUCGGAGAGAUUGAGGUCUGCAGCGUAGAUCCUUCGGGGUUAGAUACAUUUGUGCUAAGUUAUAGCUUUUCAUAGACAACUUGUUGACUAUGUUAGUCUUGUAGCUUACUCGCUUAUGCUAUUUUACCUACGCUUAGGAUGUUGAACUCUAUCACACACAG